rnacentral:rRNA from 1 species
GACGAACGCUGGCGGCGUGCCUAAUACAUGCAAGUAGAACGCUGGAGAGAGGAGCUUGCUCUUCUUGGAAGAGUUGCGAACGGGUGAGUAACGCGUAGGUAACCUGCCUUGUAGCGGGGGAUAACUAUUGGAAACGAUAGCUAAUACCGCAUAACAAUGGGUGACCCAUGUCAUUCAUUUGAAAGGGGCAACUGCUCCACUACAAGAUGGACCUGCGUUGUAUUAGCUAGUAGGUGAGGUAACGGCUCACCUAGGCGACGAUACAUAGCCGACCUGAGAGGGUGAUCGGCCACACUGGGACUGAGACACGGCCCAGACUCCUACGGGAGGCAGCAGUAGGGAAUCUUCGGCAAUGGGGGCAACCCUGACCGAGCAACGCCGCGUGAGUGAAGAAGGUUUUCGGAUCGUAAAGCUCUGUUGUAAGUCAAGAACGAGUGUGAGAGUGGAAAGUUCACACUGUGACGGUAGCUUACCAGAAAGGGACGGCUAACUACGUGCCAGCAGCCGCGGUAAUACGUAGGUCCCGAGCGUUGUCCGGAUUUAUUGGGCGUAAAGCGAGCGCAGGCGGUUUGAUAAGUCUGAAGUUAAAGGCUGUGGCUCAACCAUAGUUCGCUUUGGAAACUGUCAAACUUGAGUGCAGAAGGGGAGAGUGGAAUUCCAUGUGUAGCGGUGAAAUGCGUAGAUAUAUGGAGGAACACCGGUGGCGAAAGCGGCUCUCUGGUCUGUAACUGACGCUGAGGCUCGAAAGCGUGGGGAGCGAACAGG